rnacentral:rRNA from 1 species
AGCGAACGCUGGCGGCAGGCCCAACACAUGCAAGUCGAGCGCCCCGCAAGGGGAGCGGCAGACGGGAGAGUAACACGUGGGAACGUACCCUUCAGUUCGGAACAACCCAGGGAAACUUGGGCUAAUACCGGAUACGUCCGUAAGGAGAAAGAUUUAUCGCUGAAGGAUCGGCCCGCGUCCGAUUAGCUAGUUGGUGAGGUAACGGCUCACCAAGGCGACGAUCGGUAGCUGGUCUGAGAGGAUGAUCAGCCUCACUGGGACUGAGACACGGCCCAGACUCCUACAGGAGGCAGCAGUGGGGAGUAUUGGACAAUGGGCGCAAGCCUGAUCCAGCCAUGCCGCGUGGAUGAUGAAGGCCCUAGGGUUGUAAAGUCCUUUCGGCGGGGAAGAUAAUGACGGUACCCGCAGAAGAAGCCCCGGCUAACUUCGUGCCAGCCGCCGCAGUAAUAC